rfam:Salmo salar isolate Sally breed double haploid chromosome ssa13, whole genome shotgun sequence.
UGCAUUCACUACUGUAAAUCGCUCUGGAUAAGAGUGUCUGCUGAAUGACUAAAA